UUCCCUGUACACAGAGCGAGCCCCACAGUCCCCGUCCAUCAAAGGCAACUCAGGGCAAGUUGAUUUCCGCACCUGACAGAUAAUGGUUUUGUAUCAGGGAUCUGAUUAACAGCCCUGGUGAAUUCCUGUAAUUUAUUAAAGCGUCUGGUCCAGAUGGUUACAAAAAAAAAAAAAAAAAAAACCCUCCGUGCAGAAUACUGAACAUAGAAAUGCAGAACUGGACAACGGGCAGCAUGAAGAGAUGGGCACUUGGAAUGGAAUAGAUGCAGUGUAAUUGGGUGGCUUGUGGUAACGCCAAGAGGCUCUGACUGAAGCAGAGGGAUCUUUGCCAGCGGUGCUGACGAGCAGCGUAAAUCUGGACGCACCCUACAAUCACUCUUAAUGCAGUUCCAGCCUAUUGCAUCUGAUAACAGACUGAUUCACCUGAAGAACUUUGCAACUCUACCCAGUAUCGUCACCACUGUGGUACAGUUCCACAAUUUUCAAGUCUUCUGGCACAUGUGAUUUUUAUGCUUGUA
rnacentral:lncRNA from 1 species